AUCCAUCUGAGUAGUUCCAAAUAGGAUGAAACAUGCGUCCUGGAU
rnacentral:hammerhead_ribozyme from 1 species